GAAAUGAUUUGUAGGAAUAAAGGGGAUUGUUGGUGACCCAGGUAUGCCAGGAAGAGAUGGGGAUCUUGGUAUAGAGGCAUACCAAGGUCCUCAGGGUGGAGAAGGAAGUCUUGGGCAAGGAGGGCAAUUGG